rnacentral:rRNA from 1 species
GAAACCGUCUAGAGGCAAACGGAGAGGACCGUAUCGUCCGGUCGCGGGAUUCAGUCCGCAGGCUAGGCGGCGGCGUUCGGUCGCGCAUCUCUCGUGGGAGCGCGUCGGGCGUCCGGCCCGUCUGGCGGCGGCCGUACUUUCCGCGGCCGGAGCGCCACGACCGGUUCGUCGGCGGCGAGAAACUCCCGGGCAAGGUGACCGGCGCCUCGGCGUCGGAGCAUACAGGCCCGGUGAGCGUCGGCCCGUCGGCGGACCGAGGACGACAUUCGCGGUGGCGCGUCGACCGCCGGUCGUGUGUGUGCGUUCGACUCGGGGGGACCGGUUUCGGUGCCCUCGGACCGCGUGUGCAUAUCGGCUGGACGGCGCGGCGCGUCGCCUGGGGUCAGUGGCGGAUCGGCCGGCAACCUGUCCGACCCGUCUUGAAACACGGACCAAGGAGUCUAACAUGUGCGCAAGUCGUUGGGCGCUACGAAACCCGAAGGCGCAAUGAAAGUGAAGGCCCGGCCUCGCGCCGGCCUCGGUGGGAUGCGCGUUCGUCGUUUCGGCGGCGGCGCGUCGCACCACCGGCCCGUCUCGUUCGUCUCGUCGAAGAGGCGGAGCAAGAGCGUACACGUUGGGACCCGAAAGAUGGUGAACUAUGCCUGAGUAGGGCGAAGCCAGAGGAAACUCUGGUGGAGGCUCGCAGCGAUUCUGACGUGCAAAUCGAUCGUCAAACUUGGGUAUAGGGGCGAAAGACUAAUCGAACCAUCUAGUAGCUGGUUCCUGUCGAAGUUUCCCUCAGGAUAGCUGGCGCUCAUCGAGGCAGUUUUUAUCCGGUAAAGCGAAUGACUGGAGGCCUUGGGGA